GUAGUUAGCCGGGGCUUCCUCCUUGGCUACCGUCACUUUCUUCGUCACCAAGGACAGAGGUUUACAACCCGAAGGCCUUCUUCCCUCACGCGGCGUUGCUGGGUCAGGCUUGCGCCCAUUGCCCAAUAUUCCCCACUGCUGCCUCCCGUAGGAGUCUGGACCGUGUCUCAGUUCCAGUGUGGCCGAUCAGCCUCUCAGCUCGGCUACCCAUCGCAGGCUUGGUGGGCUGUUAUCUCACCAACUACCUAAUGGGACGCGAACCCCUCCUUCAGCGGAUUGCUCCUUUGACCUCAUCCCGAUGCCGGGUCGUGGUCUUAUGCGGUAUUAGCACUUGUUUCCAGGUGUUAUCCCCCUCUGAAGGUCAGGUUGUUCACGCGUUACUCACCCGUUCGCCACUAAAAUUUAUCUUCCAUCCGAAAACUUCCGAUAAAUCUCCGUUCGACUUGCAUGUGUUAGGCACGCCGCCAGCGUCGUCCUGAGCCAUAAUCAAACUACUGA
rnacentral:rRNA from 1 species